rnacentral:rRNA from 1 species
ACGGGGUGCAGCAGGCGCGAAAACUCCGCAAUUCGCGAAAGCGUGACGGGGGAACUCCAAGUGCUGCAGCGUUAGCUGUAGCUUUUUUAGAGUGUAAAUAUCUCUACGAAUAAGGGCGGGGUAAGACCGGUGCCAGCCGCCGCGGUAACACCGGCCGCUCAAGUGGUGACCGCUAUUAUUGGGCCUAAAGCGUCCGUAGCCGGUCUGAUAAGUCUUUGGGUAAAUCCUGACGCUUAACGUUAGGAAUUCUAGGGAUACUGUCAGACUUGAGGCCGAGAGAAGUCAGAGGUACUCUUGGGGUAGCGGUGAAAUGCUGUAAUCCUGAGGGGACCACCAGUGGCGAAGGCGUCUGACUAGAGCGGGCCUGACGGUGAGGGACGAAAGCCAGGGUAGCGAACGGGAUUAGAUACCCCGGUAGUCCUGGCCGUAAACGCUGCGCGCUAGGUGUUGCAUGCUCUACGAGGGCAUGCAGUGCCGAAGAGAAGUUGAUAAGCGUGCCGCCUGGAAGUACCAUCGCAAGU